CGCGUAGGCGGACAGUUUAGUCAGAGGUGAAAGCCCAGGGCUCAACCCUGGAAUUGCCUUUGAUACUGGCUGUCUUGAGUACGGGAGAGGUGUGUGGAACUCCGAGUGUAGAGGUGAAAUUCGUAGAUAUUCGGAAGAACACCAGUGGCGAAGGCGACACACUGGCCCGUUACUGACGCUGAGGCGCGAAAGCGUGGGAGCAAACA
rnacentral:rRNA from 1 species